GGAUGUGAGGGCGAUCUGACUGCGACAUCUGUCACCCCACUGAUCACCAGGGUUGAUUGAGCUGAUCUGGCUGGCUAAGCGGGUGUCCCCUUCCUCCCUCAACUAUCCCUGUGCAUCCUGUUGAAGACCACCCCCGAUAGAGGAGGACCAUUCCUCAGUUGAGGGUAUACAAGCUCUCAACCCAGACAUUUACCUUCUGCAUAUCUACCCAGAAGAAUCAAAAACUUCAUACCACAGCAAUAUGUGUGUACCCAUGUUUAUAGCAGCACAAUUUAU
rnacentral:snRNA from 1 species